rnacentral:rRNA from 1 species
ACUUACAGCCAUAUCACGUUGAGAGCGUCGGUUCUCGUCCGAUCACCAAAGUUAAGCAACGUCAAGCCUAGUGAGUGCUUAGAUGGGUGACCGCUUGUGAAACCUAGGUGCUGUAAGCG